GAGCCGGAUCGACCUCGCGCUCCUGGUCCAUCCCGUGUCCACCAGAGACACCGCACGUGAGGCAAAGCCCUAGGGGAGACCCCGCAACCCCUUCCCGACCCCUGUUGCUGCCGACGCUUUGCCCGAGCUCGUUUUGGAUCUCGGGAGAAGCUCCGCCGACCGCCGCCGUUCGCCGAACGUUUGCGCCGCCCAGAGGGAGAGGAACACGCCGGCCGACUUCACGGGAUCUCGCCAGAGUUCGCGACACCGCCGUCUAUAGAGGACGCCCCCAUCGCCGUACUCACCACCACCACCUCCGCCACUCAACGCUGCACCCGUCCGUCCCUUCGUCUUCGCCGGAGCACCGCCGGAGAAGCGCCGCCGCCGACGCCCGAGACCGCCGCCGCCGUCCUCUGCUUCUGAUUGUCCAGAGUGCGACGCGAGCUAUUGUCAGGAGUGUGACUUUCUGAACCAGAACCAAG